rnacentral:ncRNA from 1 species
CCAAUUGGGGAUGAAGUUCUCCCGCGGAAUAAACCGAAACCGCUAUGCCGAUAGCUGAUGACUUCUACUG